rnacentral:ncRNA from 1 species
AAAAGGUUUGGUCCUGGCCUUAUAAUUAGUUGAGAGUAAAAUUACACAUGCAAAUCUCCAUACUCCGGUGUCAAAUCCCAUAAAACUAGUCCCACCUAGCCAAAGGAGAGGAUAUCAAGCACAUUCAACCUAUAGCUCAAGACAUCUUGCCCCAGCCACACCCCCACGGGAUACAGCAGUGAUAAAAAUUAAGCAAUGAACGAAAGUUUGACUAAGUUACACUCUCGAGGGUUGGUAAAUUUCGUGCCAGCCACCGCGGUCAUACGAUUAACCCGAACUAAUUAUCAAGCGGCGUAAAAGGUGUUACAUAAGAUAAAAAAUAGAAUUAAAAUUCAACUUAUAUGUGAAAAUUCAUUGUUAGAACCUAAACACAAUAACGAAAGUAAUUCUAAUACCCUUACAUACACGAUAGCUAAGACCCAAACUGGGAUUAGAUACCCCACUAUGCUUAGCCCUAAACUUCAAUAAUUACUAACAAAAUUAUUUGCCAGAGAACUACUAGCCACAGCUUAAAACUCAAAGGACUUGGCGGUACUUUAUAUCCAUCUAGAGGAGCCUGUUCUAUAAUCGAUACACCCCGUUAUACCUCACCACCCCUUGCUAAUACAGCCUAUAUACCGCCAUCUUCAGCAAACCCUAAAAAGGAACACAAGUAAGCAAGAGAACAAACAUAAAAACGUUAGGUCAAGGUGUAGCCUAUGAGGUGGGAAGCAAUGGGCUACAUUUUCUUUAACAAGAACAUACGAAAACCUUUAUGAAACUAAAGGACUAAGGAGGAUUUAGCAGUAAAUUAAGAAUAGAGAGCUUAAUUGAAUAGAGCAAUGAAGUGCGCACACACCGCCCGUCACCCUCCUCAAAUUAAAUUAUAUUUCCCCUAAAUAAAACAAAACAAACCAAUUUAUGAGAGGAGAUAAGUCGUAACAAGGUAAGCAUACUGGAAAGUGUGCUUGGAAUAAC